AUGAAGCCACAGGUGCUGCUCCUCUCGUUGGCCGUCCUCGCAGCAGCGCUGCCCCUCUCACAGGGCCAAGGUGAGGCCGGGAUUCUUCUCUCUAACCUCGGACCUCCUCUAGCAGUGUUUGGUGCUGCUGGUGGGUUCCUGGACAUGAGGAACAACCAUAUGUUUCCGCGGCAAGCUCCAGUGGCGGUGCGGCCCGACAGCGACGACGCGUACGUCCGAGCCACCCAGGAGAUGAGCGCCGUCGACGCCGACUGCAAGUAUGUGAUCUCCGUCUUCAACCGUGGCCUCGGCAGCCGCAUCCUCACCGCCGCCGCGUCGGCGUUCCUUUUACGCGCUGUGCUCACCGACUACAUCCACCUUAUCGACUGGUGCAACUGGGUGCAGCGCCAUGGGUGA
rnacentral:rRNA from 1 species